UUUCUCCCCAAUCUAAUUACACACACGUUUAGCUGUGUAGCUCAUUCAACAGAUAGCACAAUCUUUACAAGUUAUACCUUGUAAA